CUUCUAACGAGUCUAGCCGAUCAUUUAGCCAGCUUUCAAACUCCCCGGCGUCUGCCACGGCCGCAGCCAUCUUGGCCCUUUGGGGUCUUUUCGGCGGCGCACGGCUGUCUUUUCUCAUUGCCUGUUCAAAAAGUGUGUUACAGAAGAUGACGUCAGUGAUCCAACCUGUGCAACAUGACGGGUGGGUGGACACCCGGCGAGGGACUAGUCACUAGCGGGCUGUGAUUCUGCACUGAACUGGUCACACCAUCGGCCCAGCUGUUUCUCCUGCCUCAAGCAGCAGACGCACAUUCUCCCAGAGGUCCGAGCAGCCCAGCGGUGUCCUGAAGUUACCAGGACUGCGGGAUGUAUUGUGACAGACUUUAAAUGUGAGGAAGAGGAGCCCUUGUCACCCAUCACCUCUGUGAGAUGAAAGGCCCCGAAAGCAGCCAGCCACCCUGCUGGACAUAGCUCAGCUGUUAUAAGAAGUGUUUGACAGGAGUGGCAGGUACUUGACCUUCUCUCUGGCUUUCUCUCUCUCACACUUCCGCUCUUCUUUGCUCUCUCUUUUCUCUCACUCUUACUCCGUGUCGCUGCCUCGCCACAGGCUAACCACUCUUUGCGCCACAGCCUCUUGGGUGUUGUCAGGGAGCUAACAGUCCCAGUGCUCUGUAGUACGCCUGCGUUUGUUGUUUGUUUGUUCCAUCUAUUUUCAAUAAAUACAAUGGUGGAAGCCUUGUGGUGGCGUUGA